AGCUUUGCACAGUGGCAGUAUCGUAGCCAAUGAGGUUUAUCUGAGGUGCGAUUAUUGCUAAUUGAAAACUUUUCCCAAUACCCCACCAUGACGACUUGAAAUAUAGUCAGCAUUGGCAAUUUUUGACAGUCUCUACGGAGA